rnacentral:misc_RNA from 1 species
UUUCCGUAGGUGAACCUGCGGAAGGAUCAUUCAUGAUAAAGUGUUUUAUGGCACUUUUUAAAAAUCCAUAUCCACCUUGUGUGCAAUGUUAGAUCUCGUCAAUCUUGGCGAGAUUUUUAUACAUCAACUCAUUCUUUAACUAAUUUGUCUGAAAAAUAUUAUGAAUACUUAAUUCAAAAUACAACUUUCAACAACGGAUCUCUUGGCUCUC